CCUUCGGGGUGGAUUAGUGGCGAACGGGUGAGUAACACGUGGGCAAUCUGCCCUUCACUCUGGGACAAGCCCUGGAAACGGGGUCUAAUACCGGAUACCACUCCUGCCCGCAUGGGUGGGGGUUGAAAGCUCCGGCGGUGAAGGAUGAGCCCGCGGCCUAUCAGCUUGUUGGUGGGGUAAUGGCCCACCAAGGCGACGACGGGUAGCCGGCCUGAGAGGGCGACCGGCCACACUGGGACUGAGACACGGCCCAGACUCCUACGGGAGGCAGCAGUGGGGAAUAUUGCACAAUGGGCGAAAGCCUGAUGCAGCGACGCCGCGUGAGGGAUGACGGCCUUCGGGUUGUAAACCUCUUUCAGCAGGGAAGAAGCGAAAGUGACGGUACCUGCAGAAGAAGCGCCGGCUAACUACGUGCCAGCAGCCGCGGUAAUACGUAGGGCGCAAGCGUUGUCCGGAAUUAUUGGGCGUAAAGAGCUCGUAGGCGGCUUGUCACGUCGGAUGUGAAAGCCCGAGGCUUAACCUCGGGUCUGCAUUCGAUACGGGCUAGCUAGAGUGUGGUAGGGGAGAUCGGAAUUCCUGGUGUAGCGGUGAAAUGCGCAGAUAU
rnacentral:rRNA from 1 species